rnacentral:rRNA from 1 species
UACGGAGGGUGCAAGCGUUGUCCGGAUUUAUUGGGUUUAAAGGGUGCGUAGGCGGCCCGUUAAGUCAGUGGUGAAAGCCUCCAGCUCAACUGGAGAACUGCCAUUGAUACUGACGGGGCUUGAGUACAGACGAGGUUGGCGGAAUUAUUGUGUAGCGGUGAAAAUGCAUAGAUACAAUCAAGAACUCCGAUUGCGUAGGCAGCUAACUAGGCUGUAACUGACGCUGAGGCACGAAAAGCGUGGGGGAGCGAACAGG